rnacentral:rRNA from 1 species
GCACAAGCGGAGGAACAUGUGGUUUAAUUCGAUGAUACGCGAGGAACCUUACCUGGGCUUAAAUGUAGAGUGCAUUUUUUAGAGAUAGAAAUUCCCUUCGGGGCUUUCUGCAAGGUGCUGCAUGGUUGUCGUCAGCUCGUGCCGUGAGGUGUCGGGUUAAGUCCCAUAACGAGCGCAACCCUUAUCGUUAGUUGCCAUCUGGUAAUGCAGGGGACUCUAGCGAAACUGCCACCGUAAGGUGAGAGGAAGGUGGGAUGACGUCAAAUCAGCACGGCCCUUAUGUCCAGGGCUACACGCGUGUUACAAUGGUCGGUACAGAGGGCAGCUACCUGGUGACAGGAUGCUAAUCUCGAAAACCGGUCUCAGUUCGGAUCGAAGUCUGCAACUCGACUUCGUGAAGCUGGAUUCGCUAGUAAUCGCGCAUCAGCCAUGGCGCGGUGAAUACGUUCCCGGGCCUU